GAAAAACAUAAAAAACCGUGGGAACAAAAGCUUCUUCUUCUUCUUACCAGGCUUGCUCGGUGGGAACGGACUGGUUUCAGAGUUAUCUUCUGUUCCAUAUGAUUCACUUGGGCUGUAGACCUCAGGUGAUCGGGUCAACUUAUUUAAGAUAAAUCUUCAGUGAAAGAAAAAUAAAAAUAAGUUUGUAGCCACUAGACAAAAUAAAUCUGUGAGUAAUGAUAUUUUCGUAAUUAUUAUUUUUGAUAACAAUGAAUUCAAGAAUAUAAUAGGUAUAAAAUUUAAGCUAGUAAUUAAACUAAAAUAAAAGUCAUUAUUAUAGUAAUAAACUAAUGAAUUAGGGUUAAACUAGCUUUUUCCCAAAUAAUUAUUAUUUUUUAUUUUCAAAAACAAAAUACAUAGAGCACUUGUAAAAGGUUCUGCUCUUUCCGAUCAAUCCAAAUAAUAAUCGAAGGCGAUAUUUCAAGUUUUCAAUAUUGAUAAACGUGCCACAUCAGUUUAUAUUUUUAGACAAGUUUUCGGAAAAGGCAACUAAAUAUAAAUAAAAUAAAACUUGUUAAAAAAGGAGUCGAAUAUCCCCUGUGGAUCCUCUGCUGGAUAAUUAUAAAAUCAAUGUCUGUCACUUCUAGACAAGUCAUUUAAUUUCCCAGACCUGUAAAUCCAAAGCACGUUCUUGGUCUCCGAUUCAGAAAAGAAAAGAGAGAGAGAAGAUGAGUUCAAGAUCUGACCUCACAAUCAUGCGUGUCUGCUUCAUAAUCUUCUUGCUUGGAGUUCUUGUUGAGCUAUGUGAUGGAGGGAUUACCAGUGAAUAUGUCAGAGGAAGUGAUUUACCAGACGACAUGCCAUUAGACAGCGAUGUCUUUAAAGUUCCUCCCGGUCCUAACACUCCCCAACAGGUUCACAUAACGCAAGGUAACCAUGAAGGCAAUGGAGUGAUUAUUUCAUGGGUGACUCCUUCUGCGCCCUGUUCUAACACAGUUCGCUAUUGGUCUGAGAAUGGAAAAUCGAAGAAGCUAGCAGAAGCAACCAUGAACACCUACCGUUUCUUCAAUUAUACAUCUGGUUACAUCCACCACUGCCUCAUUGAUGAUUUGGAAGUAAGUCUUUCCAACAACUUAUUUGUUGUAUUUAGACAUUUAGUUACAGGUUUUUAUUUAAGUGGCUCGGUGUUAAUACCAGCGAGAAGUAGUGAUAGAGAGAAUAAACAUUCAAAGAAUAACUGAAUAAAUUUAGUUAUUGGUUAAUAUAAUUGCAUCUUCUUUUUAUUUUGAGUGAUAUAAUAUAAUUGCAUCUUAUGUUUAAUUUUCUCUAUUUAUUAAGUCUGAAAAAAAUCAUUUUAUUGCAGUUUGAUAUGAAAUACUACUAUGAAAUUGGGAGUGGUAAAUGGCGAAGGCGAUUCUGGUUCUUUACUCCGCCUAAACCUGGUCCUGACGUACCUUACACCUUUGGCUUAAUAGGUAUCAACUUCUGUCUUUAGUAGAUUCAUAUUUUCUGUUGUGACCGUAGAUAUUUAAUUUAUUUCUAAUACAAUAUCCAGGGGAUCUAGGACAAACAUAUGAUUCAAAUCGAACGUUAAGUCAUUAUGAGAUGAAUCCGGGAAAAGGACAGGCGGUUUUGUUCCUAGGAGACUUGUCUUAUGCGGAUCGUUACCCUUUGCACGACAACAACAGAUGGGAUACUUGGGGAAGAUUCGUUGAGAGAAGUGUUGCUUAUCAACCUUGGAUAUGGACUGCAGGAAACCACGAAAUCGACUAUGUUCCUGAAAUUGUAAUAAGACUUGAAUGAAUACCCUUGUUGGUUUCUCGAAAUGGAACUUGACUUUUUUUGCUUUUGCAGGGUGAAACAGAACCAUUCAAGCCUUUUACGAAUCGGUAUCAUACGCCGUACAAGGCAUCGGGAAGUAUAUCUCCAUUGUGGUAUUCCAUCAAGAGGGCUUCAGCUUAUAUUAUUGUUAUGUCUUGUUACUCAUCUUAUGGUAAUACUGACUAGAGAGAAGAAAAAUAAACUAUAUUAUUGGUUUGGUUGGCUUUUUUUCCUAAUACUUUCUUUAAUCUGAUGGAUUAAUUAGGGGUAUACACUCCUCAGUACAAAUGGCUACAACAGGAGUUCCAAAGAGUAAAUCGAACAGAGACUCCAUGGCUUAUAGUCUUAGUACAUUGCCCCUUUUACCAUAGCUAUGUGCAUCAUUACAUGGAAGGUGAGACAAUGAGGGUCUUGUACGAGCAGUGGUUCGUCAAGUCCAAGGUUGAUGUGGUGUUUGCAGGCCAUGUUCAUGCCUAUGAGAGAUCGGUAAUUUUUAUUUGAAUUAGUCUUCCUUAAUAGUAUCUCCUCUGCCCCCAAGUGAUCAUCAAUUACUAACUAACGCAGAAACGUGUUUCUAACAUUGCCUACAACCUUGUCAAUGGGUUGUGUGAGCCAAUAUCGGAUGAGUCGGCUCCUGUGUACAUAACCAUCGGGGACGGAGGAAACUCAGAAGGCUUGCUUACUGAGUAAGUUCUACCAUAUCAGCUUGUACAAAAGUCAUUUCUUAGAAUUUUGAUGAAUGACUUUUGGUUCUUCUUCUUGUAGCAUGAUGCAGCCACAGCCGAGCUACUCUGCCUUCCGAGAACCUAGCUUUGGGCACGGGUUGCUGGAUAUCAAAAACAGAACUCAUGCCUACUUCAACUGGAAUCGGAACCAAGAUGGGUCUUCCGUGGAAGCAGAUUCUGUGUGGUUGCUUAAUCGGUUUUGGCGAGCUCCAAAGAAGACGAUGGUUGUUGCCUCAUGAACACAAAGUGAUCUAUGCUAAACGAUGGAACACAGUGUGAGAGUUAUCAAGUUCUUUGACUUCUUCUUUUCUCAAACUUGUCCUUUUAUAAACACAUUACUACGAAAGUAAGAAGAUUAUUAUAUCUGCAAUAUUAGGCGUGUUCUUUUGGUAGACGCCGAAUGCUGCGGCUGUGUCCAAAAAAAUAAAGCACGGAGGCACAAAAAAUUAAAAACGGUGACGCCAUUAAUCUCAGCGUCUCUUACGGAGACACAAAAAGUGAAGCGCCGGUGACGCUAUUAAUUCCUGCGUCUCUUUCACCCAUCAUUGAUUGCUGCUGCGUCUGGAAAAUAAGUAAGCUCGGAACCUUCACCGGUGUUGGGUUACCGUAAUGAAAGGCUAAUUUAUUGCCGCUGACGCUGCGUCUAGCGGUUAUGAAACGAACAGGGCUAUUAUAAACACAUUACUAAGAAGGUAAGAAGAUUAUAUCUGCAAUCUUGCAAGUGUUAUAAAAUAAAAUAAAGAUAGUAAGUGUUAUGAAAAGUCAAGCGAAAGUGUUAUAAAAAAAAAGAAAUACUCGAUACUCGAUAGCAUGAAGUUCAUUUAUUUGUGUGUUGCGGAACCACUAGUGAUCUAAUACUCGAUCAGCAACAAGGAGUCGACUAACAAUGCAAAUAAAAUUCGCAAUUUACAAAACACAAAUUUCAAAUGGAGAUCGUGUGCAAAGCCCCCAACAAAAAGUGGCGGAAACAUUAUUAACAAUGUGUUUGAAUAAUUAAACUGGUAACAAACUCAAUUAUGUGACUUCUUCUUUGACAAAAACAUAAAAAACCGUGGGAGCGAAAGCUUCUUCUUCUUACCAGUCUUGCUCGGUGGUAACUGACUUGUUUCAGAGUUAUCUUCUGUUCCAUAUGAUUCACUUGGGCUGUAGACCUCAGGUGACUGCGCCAACUUACUCAGCUCAUUAGCUCCUGCAGAGCUUGCUCUUAUGAUUUUCUCAGUAUCACCACCAACUUUUCUCUUCUGCUCAUGCUCAGCCCUCCACUUCCUCAGCUCCUGCUCCACCCCCAGCUUCCCUUCUUUCGCC
rnacentral:lncRNA from 1 species